AACGCGUGGGAACGUGCCCUUCUCUGCGGAAUAGCCACUGGAAACGGUGAGUAAUACCGCAUACGCCCUUCGGGGGAAAGAUUUAUCGGAGAAGGAUCGGCCCGCGUUAGAUUAGAUAGUUGGUGGGGUAACGGCCUACCAAGUCUACGAUCUAUAGCUGGUUUUAGAGGAUGAUCAGCAACACUGGGACUGAGACACGGCCCAGACUCCUACGGGAGGCAGCAGUGGGGAAUCUUAGACAAUGGGCGCAAGCCUGAUCUAGCCAUGCCGCGUGUGUGAUGAAGGUCUUAGGAUCGUAAAGCACUUUCGCCAGGGAUGAUAAUGACAGUACCUGGUAAAGAAACCCCGGCUAACUCCGUGCCAGCAGCCGCGGUAAUACGGAGGGGGUUAGCGUUGUUCGGAAUUACUGGGCGUAAAGCGCGCGUAGGCGGAUUGGAAAGUUGGGGGUGAAAUCCCGGGGCUCAACCCCGGAACUGCCUCCAAAACCAUCAGUCUAGAGUUCGAGAGAGGUGAGUGGAAUUCCAAGUGUAGAGGUGAAAUUCGUAGAUAUUUGGAGGAACACCAGUG
rnacentral:rRNA from 1 species